CCCGACCCUAGCCCACGCACCUCCCGAGUCAGAGACUCAGAGCCACCUUCGGCCUUCCCUUCCUCUGGAGGGUUUAUCCCGAUUCCCAAUUUUAACCAAUAGCGAAUAGAGAGAGAAUAUAAGAGAGAGAGAGAGAGGGAGAGAGAGGGUUGGUCUGUGCAUCUCGAACUUGCAGAAGAAAAGAGUCCGUACGUCUCCCCAAAAAAUCUCUAGGGUUUUAAGCGGGGUCACGGGAUAGCUAUUGAGUCUCGUAUCGAUUUUACAGAGUUAUGAAAUUUUCUCUCUCCAUGCUCUGAAACGAUUCGUUUUUAGAGGCUUUUGUUUUGGAAACUGGGUGUAUGAGAUAUAGGGUUUCGUAUUUGAUGGACGAGAUCUGGGAGCGGGCGGUGGAGACAGCGCUAGACGGCCAAACCGACCACGCCUCUGCUCGAACCCUAACCUUAGACGGCGCGGUCAAGUGCGUCCAAGGUCGGCUGCCCCCUCCGAGUCUCCUUGAAAGGUUCCAGAACCUUCAGCACCUAUCUAUUGCCAAUAUCGGCGUUUCGUCCCUCGAGCAGUUCCCUCGCCUCCGAAGCCUCCAGAAGCUCAUCCUCUCCGAUAAUAGGAUCGCCUGCGGUCUCGAAUUCCUCGUCGAAGCUGGCCUCGACUCGCUCCGAGACCUAGACCUCUCCAACAAUCGGAUUCAGUACAUCGAGGAUCUCGCCCCGCUCGCCCCGCUCAAGCUCAUCUCGCUCGAUCUCUAUGAGUGCCCCGUUACGCGGGUCAAGGAUUAUCGAUCUAGGGUUUUUGGGUUGAUCAAAUCGUUGAAGUAUUUGGAUAAGAUGGAUGCGGAGGAGAACGAGCGGCCCGAGUCUGAUGACGAGGAGGAAGACGAAGACGACGAGGAGGAUGACCCGGGGAGUGGCGAAAUCGACGGCGAGGAUCGGCCCUAUGGAAUGAAUAACGGACACAGUGAGGGGAUGGAAGGAGUUGUCGACGUUGACGAGGAUGAAGAGAGCGAUGCCGAUGAGGAAGAGACAGAAACGGCGAGGAGAGUGAGCAGGCCAAAUCAUCAGGCAAAUGGGUUUCGGCAUGAGCAUGUGGAGGGCGAGGGUGCUGAUGAGGAUGAAGAUGACGGCGAUGAUGAUGAAUACAAUGAGUCAGGGGAGGAAAUCGACGAGGAGGGUGACGAUGACGAUGUGGUCGAGGUGCAUGAGAUUGAGGACAGUGAUGAUGAGGAAGAUGGGGUUGAGUAUGAUGAGGACGAGGAGGACGAGGAUGAUGAAGAUGAAGAAGAGGAAGUGGACAAUGACGAGGGGGAGUUUGCAGAGCUGGAGAUUACGGGGCGGUUGAUAAGCAUGGAAGGGGAGAUUGAUGGGCAUGAGCAGGGUGAGGAUGAUGCGGACGAGGAUGAAAAUGGUGAGACUGGGGAGGAAGAGCAUGGUGUUGAAGAAGACGUGGAGUUUGAGGACGAAGAAGAGGGUGAGGAGGAGGAAGACUAUGGUGCUGGUUACUUAGUUCAACCAGUGGGGCAGGCAGAAGAAGGUGACACCGGAGGUAGUGUGAUGGAACCGGGAAAUGAAGAUGAUGAUUCUGAAGAGAAGGAAGAAGUUGAGGAUGACAACGAUAUUCAGGUGGUGCCUCCCUCGUCUUCGCAACUUAAGAGGAAAAGGGAUGAAGAUGUAGAGGAGGAUGACAUCGGCGAGGAUGAUGAAGAAGAAGACGAUGUUGUCGACUGCAGCAAGUCAUCGAAGAAGCUUCGUUAGCACUCAGCUUAAAUCUCCUAUGUCGCCAAUGUUAUGUUAAAAUUUCCUUCAAACAUGGAAACAGGGAAGUAGGCCAGGUGGCAAUAGAAUUAUGGAAAUUUUACGGAUGCUGGGAUAGCGUGACAUGCGUCCUGGAAACUUGGGUAUCUAUCUUCGAUCCAACGGUGGGAAGCGUAAUUAUAUUGGUGAAGCUGCUCAGCUUAACCCUCUGUAUUUCCUUGCAUUGGAUGCGGGUGCUGGAUGUCUGUCUGACAGUCAAUUUUAUAUAUAAUUAUCUCUACCUAAGAAGAGCGAGGCCGUGUCUGUCAGUGCGGACGACCCACUUUAGCCACUUCUCCAGCUAAGCUUAAUAAAUCCGAUGAAUGCGGCUUUACUUUCACAUGGCUGGCAAAGCUUUUUUCACGAGCCUAAUCAGCUGAUGUUAGUUAACUAAUCUUAUCCCGAGCUAUGUAGCAGUAAUACGGCGUGUUUCGCGUUCAAGAACCUUGCGCGCGCGCGCGCACGGCUCAUAACUCGACAGCUUGUAUGAGCUAUUCCAAAGCAGCUAUGCCAUACCCAGGCCAAGCCUGACAGCUACAGCCUACAGGUGCAUGAAGACAAAUUCAACGGUCAAUCUUCCCCUUCACGUAAGAUGCCAAAUUCAACGGUCAAUCCCCCGUCAAGAGUAUAUAGUUACAUUAUGUACCUGUAUUAGCAUGGCCCCCAUACUUGGGUGGUUCCUUGCUCAAUUUUGAUUGUACUAGGUUAUGUUUUCAUUUAUUUUAAUGUUCAGAUUUUAACAGUAUGUACAAAAGUAUAAUUGUUUUGUAUAA